AUACCGGAUAUGAGCUGUGAAGGCAUCUUCAACAGCUGGAAAGAAUUUCGGUCAGGGAUGAGCUCGCGGCCUAUCAGCUUGUUGGUGAGGUAAUGGCUCACCAAGGCGUCGACGGGUAGCCGGCCUGAGAGGGUGACCGGCCACACUGGGACUGAGACACGGCCCAGACUCCUACGGGAGGCAGCAGUGGGGAAUAUUGCACAAUGGGCGCAAGCCUGAUGCAGCAACGCCGCGUGAGGGACGACGGCCUUCGGGUUGUAAACCUCUUUUAGCAGGGAAGAAGCGAAAGUGACGGUACCUGCAGAAAAAGCACCGGCUAACUACGUGCCAGCAGCCGCGGUAAUACGUAGGGUGCAAGCGUUAUCCGGAAUUAUUGGGCGUAAAGAGCUCGUAGGCGGUUUGUCGCGUCUGCUGUGAAAACUGGGGGCUCAACUCCCAGCCUGCAGUGGGUACGGGCAGACUAGAGUGCGGUAGGGGAGAUUGGAAUUCCUGGUGUAGCGGUGGAAUGCGCAGAUAUCAGGAGGAACACCGAUGGCGAAGGCAGAUCUCUGGGCCGUAACUGACGCUGAGGAGCGAAAGGGUGGGGAGCAAACAGGCUUAGAUACCCUGGUAGUCCACCCCGU
rnacentral:rRNA from 1 species